GAUGAACGCUGGCGGCGUGCUUAACACAUGCAAGUCGAACGGAAAGGCUCCUGCUUGCAGGGGUACUCGAGUGGCGAACGGGUGAGUAACACGUGGGUGAUCUGCCCUGCACUUCGGGAUAAGCCUGGGAAACUGGGUCUAAUACCGGAUAGGACGAUGGUUUGGAUGCCAUUGUGGAAAGUUUUUCGGUGUGGGAUGAGCUCGCGGCCUAUCAGCUUGUUGGUGGGGUAAUGGCCUACCAAGGCGUCGACGGGUAGCCGGCCUGAGAGGGUGUACGGCCACAGUGGGACUGAGAUACGGCCCAGACUCCUACGGGAGGCAGCAGUGGGGAAUAUUGCACAAUGGGCGCAAGCCUGAUGCAGCGACGCCGCGUGGGGGAUGACGGCCUUCGGGUUGUAAACUCCUUUCGCUAGGGACGAAGCGCAAGUGACGGUACCUGGAGAAGAAGCACUGGCUAACUACGUG
rnacentral:rRNA from 1 species